GAAAAUAAAGAAGCAGAGAUCAAACAACUACGGAGAAAUCUCAAUUUCAAAGCAACUCCCAUGCCUGCCUUUUACCUUGAACCUGGCUGCCGCUCAGAAAAAAACAAGGGUGGACAGAGCUGGGAGGAGGCAGGAGCAAGAGCUGCAGUCAGAGGCAGAUGAAGGAUUGAUAGAAAGAGAGAAAUUCUAGAUGUUCUGAGGGCAAAAACUGUUAUUUUCUGUGUUGAAACUAGGAGCUAUCAAGUAAAACUAAAUCACAAAGCAGGCCUUCGACUGCAGCAGGGGCUAGAACUACUAGUGCAACUGAGAACACUGUUCGUUGUUUAAGGGCAGAAGUUUAUAAUAGAUGUUCCACUAAUAAACAUCUAAAUAUGGCCGAUUCACCACAGGUUUCAGAAGUAACUAUUCAUCCUUUAGUAGAGUUAUCAGACAACAGCGUGCCUUCAGUUGUAACAAGCAAAACGUCCAAACAAACCCAAUCAAAUAGAACAGUAGCUCCAAAGAGAGAGCAAGAGAAAAGGCAGGUCACGAAUUAUCCAAGACCAAGAACAUCAGAUUCUAUCAGGAGGAACAAGGACUUUAAAGCUGAAGACAAAACAAAGGUUCUUGCACGAAGAACAGAAACCAUACAACGAGAAAGGAUGUUAGAAGUGUGGACUUGAGCCAUAGUAUAAGAGUGGGUCGUUUAGCCGUUGGUGUUGCUUCCUAGACGUAUUAUCGUUUAGUUAUUGCUGUUGGUGUGAAUCUUCUUAUAUUCUCAGCAUAGCAAAGAUGAUUGGUCUCAUAUUUGAGAUGAUAAACUUAGUGAGUAGGUUAGCAUUUCUGUUAGAUAUGCUGCAUAUAAUUAUGCCUAGUUUCAUAUAGAUAAUGUCUUUGAGCCAAGUUCUUGAUAUACCACAAAUGCUGUGCUAUUAAAGAUCAACAUACUUUGUGUAAAA